AGUGAACGCUGGCGGUAGGCCUAACACAUGCAAGUCGAACGGCAGCACAGUAAGAGCUUGCUCUUACGGGUGGCGAGUGGCGGACGGGUGAGGAAUACAUCGGAAUCUACUUUUUCGUGGGGGAUAACGUAGGGAAACUUACGCUAAUACCGCAUAUGACCUACGGGUGAAAGCAGGGGAUCUUCGGACCUUGCGCGAUUGAAUGAGCCGAUGUCGGAUUAGCUAGUUGGCGGGGUAAAGGCCCACCAAGGCGACGAUCCGUAGCUGGUCUGAGAGGAUGAUCAGCCACACUGGAACUGAGACACGGUCCAGACUCCUACGGGAGGCAGCAGUGGGGAAUAUUGGACAAUGGGCGCAAGCCUGAUCCAGCCAUACCGCGUGGGUGAAGAAGGCCUUCGGGUUGUAAAGCCCUUUUGCUGGGAAAGAAAAGCAGCAGGUUAAUACCCCGCUGUUCUGACGGUACCCAAAGAAUAAGCACCGGCUAACUUCGUG
rnacentral:rRNA from 1 species